rnacentral:rRNA from 1 species
UACGAAGGGGGCGAGCGUUGUUCGGAAUUACUGGGCGUAAAGCGCACGUAGGCGGCUUUGUAAGUUAGAGGUGAAAGCCCAGGGCUCAACCCUGGAAUUGCCCUUAAGACUGCAUCGCUUGAACAUCGGAGAGGUAAGUGGAAUUCCGAGUGUAGAGGUGAAAUUCGUAGAUAUUCGGAAGAACACCAGUGGCGAAGGCGACUUACUGGACGAUUGUUGACGCUGAGGUGCGAAAGCGUGGGGAGCAAACAGG